AAUCUUCUGCAAUGGGCGAAAGCCUGACGGAGCAACGCCGCGUGAGUGAUGAAGGUUUUCGGAUCGUAAAACUCUGUUGUUAGGGAAGAACAAAUUUGCUAGUAACUGAACAAGUCUUGACGGUACCUAACCAGAAAGCCACGGCUAACUACGUGCCAGCAGCCGCGGUAAUACGUAGGUGGCAAGCGUUAUCCGGAAUUAUUGGGCGUAAAGCGCGCGUAGGCGGUUUCUUAAGUCUGAUGUGAAAGCCCACGGCUCAACCGUGGAGGGUCAUUGGAAACUGGGGAACUUGAGUGCAGAAGAGGAGAGUGGAAUUCCAUGUGUAGCGGUGAAAUGCGCAGAGAUAUGGAGGAACACCAGUGGCGAAGGCGGCUCUCUGGUCUGUAACUGACGCUGAUGUGCGAAAGCGUGGGGAUCAAACAG
rnacentral:rRNA from 1 species